rnacentral:rRNA from 1 species
CUGACUGCUAUCGGAUUGAUACUAAGCCAUGCGAGUCUUUGUAGUAAUACAAGGCAGACGGCUCAGUAACACGUAGUCAACCUACCCUAUGGACAAGAAUAAUCUCGGGAAACUGGGCAUAAUUCUUGAUAGAUCAUAAUGCCUGGAAUGGUUUAUGGUUAAAAUGAUUCGUCGCCAUAGGAUGGGACUGCGGCCUAUCAGCUUGUUGGUGAGGUAAUGGCCCACCAAGGCGAUUACAGGUACGGGCUCUGAGAGGAGAAGCCCGGAGAUGGGUACUGAGACACGGACCCAGGCCCUAUGGGGCGCAGCAGGCGAGAAAACUUUGCAAUGUGCGAAAGCACGACAAGGUUAAUCCGAGUGAUUUCUGCUAAAGAAAUCUUUUGCCAGUCAUAAAACCACUGGUGAAUAAGGGGUGGGCAAGUUCUGGUGUCAGCCGCCGCGGUAAAACCAGCACCUCAAGUGGUCAGGAUGAUUAUUGGGCCUAAAGCAUCCGUAGCCGGCUUUGUAAGUUUUCGGUUAAAUCCAUGUGCUCAACGCAUGGGCUGCCGAAAAUACUGCAUGGCUAGGGAGUGGGAGAGGUAGACGGUACUCAGUAGGAAGGGGUAAAAUCCUUUGAUCUAUUGAUGACCACCUGUGGCGAAGGCGGUCUACCAGAACACGUUCGACGGUGAGGGAUGAAAGCUGGGGGAGCAAACCGGAUUAGAUACCCGGGUAGUCCCAGCUGUAAACGAUGCAGACUCGAUGAUGCAUUGGCAUAAUAGCCAGUGCAGUGUCGCAGGGAAGCCGUUAAGUCUGCCGCCUGGGAAGUACGUACGCAAGUAUGAAACUUAAAGGAAUUGGCGGGGGAGCACCACAAGGGGUGAAGCCUGCGGUUCAAU